rnacentral:lncRNA from 1 species
AUGACAUUAAACCAAACACAGCUUCUGGAGGAAGCUCUCAUCGGCUGCAAUAGAAGCCUCAUAGAAAUGGAGACAAAGAAAACACAAAUAUCCACAUUGGCUGUGGAUCCUAUGUCUUCAAAAGAAGUGCCUCUUCCCUCUUCUGCAUUUGAUUUUGUCAUAUUACUAGAUAUUUCAGAUAGUUUCUUGCUGAGUCGCAUGAAUGAUAUCAUAGUUGAAAAGAAAUUAGAAGAAAAGGAAGCUGAGAAGAAAGCCAUAGCUUCCCUGGCUGAGUCUCUGCCUCUACCCCCUCCUCCUCCUGAGCCAGAAAAAGAGAAGGAAAUUCAGGCUCAGCACAAGCAGGAGCCUUCAAAAACUCCUCCUGCCAAAGGAAAACCACAAUCAGAAACCCCACAUGAUAAACAAGAACCUCUUCAUGAAGGAAAAGGAAAGAAAGGUUCUCAUAAGGGAAAAACACCAGGAGGAAAAACACCGAUAAAGAAAUCACCUGCUCAGUCUACAGAAGUGUCACCCACUCCAGUGGGGCCACCACCACCUAAGCCAGGAUCUGAAGAGUGGGUCUAUGUGAGUGAGCCAGUCCCUGAGGAGGUACCUUCAUUUUUAGUACCUUACUGGCAAUUAAUAGAGAAUUCCUACAUAAACACCAUCAAAACAGCACUCAGGCAUCUGAGAGAAGAUCAGCAUAGUGUACUUGCUUACUUAUAUGAGAUUAGAACAAGUUUCCAGGAGCUUCUAAGGGCUCCAGAUUACAAGCAAGAGUUUGUAUCUCAAUGGCAAGCCGAUUUCAACUCUCUUCCUGAUGACCUGUGGGAUGAUGAGGAAACAAAGGCUGAGUUACACCAAAGACUGAAUGAUCUGCGCGAGCGCCUGUGGGACAUUUGUGAUGCCAGGAAGGAAAGGGCAGAGCAAGAGCGGCUGGAUAUCAUUAAGGAGCGCUGGUUUCAAGACUCUCUCCGAAUAACGACGACCCACUUCUCUUCGCUCAUGCAGGCAGAACUGAACUGUUUCCAGGAUACAAAAAGAUUCCUUCAAGAUUAUUACAGGGCAAUGGAAUGCAAAAGCCCUAUAGAGGAUAAUAAGAAAUUUACUCGAGUCACAUUGGUUCAAAUGGAUGCUAAAGAUGUUUCAGAAACCCAGCUUAGAUUUCCUCCUUCAGUUCCUCGAAUAUCCAUUUCUCCAGAAACAGCCAUGCCCAAACCAAAAGUAAAAGCAAUAAUGAAAAACAAGAUCGAUUCCUCACUAGAAAAUAUAGUGUCAAACUUUGAGGCAAAUGAGAACUUAGUCAUGGACACCUGGCAGCAGGCUUCCUCAGCAGUAUCACACAUGGUGGCUGCUGAAAUUCAUCAGAGACUCAUGGAAGAAGAAAAAGGAAACCAGCCAGCAGACUCAAAAGAAAAAUCUCCCCAGAUGGGUGCAAAUAAAAAAGUCAAGAAGGAAAAGGAGGCAACUAAGAAAAAAGAGGCAGACAAAAAAGCAAAAGACAAAUCACCACCUAUAGAAGAAGCCACUUCUGUGAUAGUGACAGCGGAGGAGAUGGCCAAAAUAGAAAGAAAAAAUGAACUGAGGCUCAAAAUAAAGGAAGAACACAUUGCUGCCUUGCAAUUUGAAGAGAAAGCUACACAGUUUCGACUUGAACUGAUAAAGGCAAAAGCAUUGACUGUCCUUGAAGAUGCAGUAAUACAAGUGAUUGAUGUCUAUAAAAUCAUGGAAAAAUGGCUUGGUGAGAGGUAUUUGAAUGAAAUGGCCAGUAUAGAAAAAUUAACUGAAGUAGCUCGCUAUCACAUUGAAACAGCUACAAAAAUUCAGAAGGAGCUUUAUUUAGGCCAAGAAGACUUCUUCAUUAAUGACGAUAUAAAAGUCUUCCCAGACCCUCCUCCACCAACUCGUCCUCUGCCUGUAGAAAAGGAAGAAAAUGGCACCCUGACCAUUGAACAGCUUGGCAAUCUUGGAGAUCAGUUCUUGGACAUAGCCCCUAAAGGCUUAGUAAGAAAUAAAACGUUCACUGACAUUUUGCUUGAUCUGAUAACCCUGAACCUUGGAACAAAUAGCCUUCCUAGUAGUUGGAUGCAUCUCUCUCAGUCUGAAUUGCAAGAGUUAACAUCUUUAUUAGUGGUAAACUCUGAGUUCGUGGACUGCUGGAAGUUCCUCCUAGUGGCAGCGAUGCCUUGGCCCAUCCCCCUGGAGGAGGAGCUCCUGGAGACCCUGCAGAGGUUCAAGGCUGUGGAUGAGGCACAAACGGGCAACAUCAAUUUUGAGCAGUAUAUGCAGGCUGGUCUGUGGUUUUCGGGAGAUGAAGAGAUGAAAAUUCCAGAAAAUCCCCUUGAGCCCUUGCCAUUUAAUAGGCAGGAACAUCUUAUAGAGUUCUUCUUCAUGCUAUUUGCUGAUUGUGAGAAGGAUCCACCCCAGCUUGACUACACUCAGAUGCUGCUGUAUUUUGCAUGCCACCCAGACAUGGUGGAAGGGAUCUAUAGGGCUCUCAGUGUGGCUGUUGGAACUCAUAUCUUCAGACGACUUAAAACACCUCUGCUGGCUGCAGGAAAGACUUCCUUCUCUCCUGGCAUGAGUCCCAUUGAAGAAUUUCCUAAACUUGAGGACAAGGAUGGAAGAGAGGAAAGAGAACUGAAAGAGGAGAGCGAUGAAGGGGAACAAAAGGAAAAAGAAAAGGCAAACACUGAAAAGAUUUCCAUGGAAACACUACUUACAGUAUUCCGAGGGGGAAAUGAAGCACAAGACACUAACAGAUUUGUCAGUCACCUAAAGAUAGAGAACAUUUAUGCAGAGAACUUCACAAAGACAUUUCAGGACCUAGGUGUCAAGAACAUGGAGCUGAUUGAAAUUGCUCUUCUUUUGAAACAUCCUUUUAUUCAAGAACUGAUUGCAAAUUAUUUAGACUAUAAAAUUCCUGUUAUUAAGAAGAUUCUCCAAAGGAAUGGACAUGGACAAAGAAGUGAUGAGGAAAGAUCACCUUCAAGAUUUACAGAGGAAAAAAAAUGAAGACAAAAAAGUGAUUUUUAUAAUUUGGCAAUGAACCUUCCAAAUAUCAAAUGUGAUUAUGGUGUUUGUCAUGUAUAUUACCAUUGUAAAUGUAGAAAGGGGCCCUAACUCAAAUAAAAAUUAUUAUAUCAUGAACCUUACAGAAGAGAGUAAAUAUCCAAGCAUGCA